GUACCUACGGGGGGCAGCAGUGGGGAAUAUUGGGCAAUGGAGGCAACUCUUACCCAGCAAUGCCGCGUGAAUGAAGAAGGUCUUCGGAUUGUAAAGUUCUUUAAUUGGGGACGAAAAAAAUGACGGUACCCAAGGAAUAAGCCCCGGCUAACUACGUGCCAGCAGCCGCGGUAAUACGGAGGAUGCGAGCGUUAUCCGGAUUUAUUGGGUUUAAAGGGUGCGCAGGCGGCACGGCAAGCCGGCGGUCA
rnacentral:rRNA from 1 species